rnacentral:rRNA from 1 species
UACAGAGGGUGCGAGCGUUAAUCGGAAUUACUGGGCGUAAAGCGUGCGUAGACGGUUAUUUAAGUCAGGUGUGAAAGCCCCGGGCUCAACCUGGGAAUUGCAUUUGAGACUGAAUAGCUAGGGUGCGGAAGAGGGAAGCGGAAUUUCCGGUGUAGCGGUGAAAUGCGUAGAUAUCGGGAGGAACACCUGUGGCGAAAGCGGCGCACUGGACCACAACUGACGCUGAGGCGCGAAAGCUAGGGGAGCAAACAGG